GCCUUCGUGGCGUAGUGGUCAGCACGCUGGGCGCGUAUACCAGAGGUCAGUGGUUAGAGUCCCAGUGAAGGCG
rnacentral:tRNA from 1 species